AGAGUUUGAUCCUGGCUCAGGAUGAACGCUAGCGGGAGGCUUAACACAUGCAAGUCGAGCGGCAGCGCGGGGGCAACCCUGGCGGCGAGCGGCGAACGGGUGAGUAAUACAUCGGAACGUACCCUGUCGUGGGGGAUAACUAACCGAAAGGUUGGCUAAUACCGCAUACGACCUGAGGGUGAAAGCGGGGGAUCGCAAGACCUCGCGCGAUAGGAGCGGCCGAUGUCAGAUUAGCUAGUUGGUGAGGUAAAGGCUCACCAAGGCGACGAUCUGUAGCGGGUCUGAGAGGACGGCCCGCCACACUGGAACUGAGACACGGUCCAGACUCCUACGGGAGGCAGCAGUGGGGAAUUUUGGACAAUGGGCGCAAGCCUGAUCCAGCCAUUCCGCGUGAGUGAGGAAGGCCUUCGGGUUGUAAAGCUCUUUCGGCAGGAACGAAACGGUCCUGGUUAACACCUGGGGCUAAUGACGGUACCUGAAGAAGAAGCACCGGCUAACUACGUGCCAGCAGCCGCGGUAAUACGUAGGGUGCGAGCGUUAAUCGGAAUUACUGGGCGUAAAGCGUGCGCAGGCGGUUUUGUAAGACAGAUGUGAAAUCCCCGGGCUCAACCUGGGAACUGCGUUUGUGACUGCAAGACUUGAGUGUGGCAGAGGGGGGUGGAAUUCCACGUGUAGCAGUGAAAUGCGUAGAGAUGUGGAGGAACACCGAUGGCGAAGGCAGCCCCCUGGGUCAACACUGACGCUCAUGCACGAAAAGCGUGGGUAGCAAACAGGAUUAGAUACCCCUGGUAGUCCACGCCCUAAACGAUGCGAACUAGGUGUUGGAGAAGGAGACUUCUUUAGUACCGCAGCUAACGCGUGAAGUUCGCCGCCUGGGGAGUACGGUCGCAAGAUUAAAACUCAAAGAAAUUGACGG
rnacentral:rRNA from 1 species